UACGUAGGCGGCAAGCGUUGUCCGGAAUUAUUGGGCGUAAAGGGAGCGCAGGCGGGAAGUUAAGCGGACUUUAAAAGUGCGGGGCUCAACCCCGUGAGGGGGUCCGAACUGACUUUCUUGAGUGCAGGAGAGGGAAGCGGAAUUCCUAGUGUAGCGGUGAAAUGCGUAGAUAUUAGGAAGAACACCAGUGGCGAAGGCGGCUUUCUGGACUGUAACUGACGCUGAGGCUCGAAAGCUAGGGUAGCGAACGGG
rnacentral:rRNA from 1 species